GCCGAACGCUUUCUUCUUUCUUAACACAUGCAAGUCGAACGGAAAGGCCCUGCUUGCAGGGUGCUCGAGUGGCGAACGGGUGAGUAACACGUGGGUGAUCUGCCCCUUACUUUGGGAUAAGCCUGGGAAACUGGGUCUAAUACUGGAUAGGACCAUGCUGUAGGUGGUGUGGUGGAAAGAUUAGUUUCGGUAAGGGAUGAGCUCGCGGCCUAUCAGCUUGUUGGUGGGGUAAUGGCCUACCAAGGCGUCGACGGGUAGCCGGCCUGAGAGGGUGGACGGCCACAUUGGGACUGAGAUACGGCCCAGACUCCUACGGGAGGCAGCAGUGGGGAAUAUUGCACAAUGGGCGCAAGCCUGAUGCAGCGACGCCGCGUGGGGGAUGACGGCCUUCGGGUUGUAAACUCCUUUCAGCCAUGACGAAGCCCUUGUGGUGACGGUAGUGGUAGAAGAAGCGACGGCUAACUACGUG
rnacentral:rRNA from 1 species